CCUACGGGGGGCUGCAGUGGGGAAUAUUGGACAAUGGGGGGAACCCUGAUCCAGCCAUGCCGCGUGUGUGAAGAAGGCCCUCGGGUUGUAAAGCACUUUCAGUGAGGAAGAACGCCUGGUGGUUAAUACCCAUCAGGAAAGACAUCACUCACAGAAGAAGCACCGGCUAACUCCGUGCCAGCAGCCGCGGUAAUACGGAGGGUGCGAGCGUUAAUCGGAAUUACUGGGCGUAAAGCGCGCGUAGGUGGCUUGAUAAGCCGGUUGUGAAAGCCCCGGGCUCAACCUGGGAACGGCAUCCGGUACUGUCAAGCUAGAGUGCAGGAGAGGAAGGUAGAAUUCCCGGUGUAGCGGUGAAAUGCGUAGAGAUCGGGAGGAAUACCAGUGGCGAAGGCGGCCUUCUGGACUGACACUGACACUGAGGUGCGAAAGCGUGGGUAGCAAACAGGAUUAGAUACCCUAGUAGUC
rnacentral:rRNA from 1 species